ACGGCUAUAUAACACACUGCUAAGAGAUUGAUGAGUUUUUACAUACUUUCUCUUAACAAGCUAUUGAACGUUUUUUUUUCUUACCAAUGAGUCCAACGGCUGAUCCAGCGGUAUGCCAGCGUCUUUCUUCGCAGCGUGGAGCAUAUCGAUGAUUCGGUUAGCACAUUCUUCAAUACCCAGCGCCCAGUGAUUGGUCCCCGGUCCUUUGGCUUUGCCCACGACUGUACCUGUACUGUCGCAGAUCACCAGAUUUGACUGCGUCGCUCCACUGCAAACAUAUUUUACACCGUAUAAUUUUUAAUCUUUUAGAAACUAAAAACAUAAUUGUAAUAUUAAUUGUAUUAUAAAUUGUAACAAAGUAACGCGUUCUAAUCUUAUAACCAAGUUUGGAAAUAAAUAAUAAAUAAAUAAA